UACAGAGGUCUCGAGCGUUGUUCGGAUUCAUUGGGCGUAAAGGGUGCGUAGGUGGCGUGGUAAGUCUGGUGUGAAAUCCCGGGGCUCAACCCCGGAACUGCACUGGAUACUGCCAUGCUUGAGUACUGGAGAGGAGAUUGGAAUUCCUGGUGUAGCGGUGAAAUGCGCAGAUAUCAGGAGGAACACCGGUGGCGAAGGCGGGUCUCUGGGCCGAUACUGACGCUGAGGAGCGAAAGCGUGGGGAGCGAACAGG
rnacentral:rRNA from 1 species